rnacentral:ncRNA from 1 species
AUUGGUUUGGCCGGGCAUGGUGCUUGGGCUCAGGGAACCCGGUGCAAAUCCGGGACUGCCCCGCAGCGGUAACGAGAACGACCUCCGGGCCUCGUUUUGGGCCAUGCACUGGUCGCCCAUCGACGAAUUCGUCGAUGACGCGACUGGGAAGCGACGGAGUGUAGGAAGCCGGCGUUCAGCCGGGCGCGCUCGAAGCCCGAAAACCUGCCAUUCACCCGGUCGCGGG